UCACUCAACUGAGUUUCUAUUGGCUCGCGAGGGUGUUAUCCUCACAAAGAAGCUCACACCGCAACUAUCUGCUUUUGGAUUGGUAACAAUGUCAGUUAUUGCUCUGUUCACGGUGGCUACGAAGCUCGCCGGAGUCUUUGUAACGAUCACCGUUGCCGCCAAUGCUUUUUCCUUCUCCGUCUACCGUAAAAAGAACCUCAAGCGUUUCCGCUCUCCCAUAAACGACUCCGCCGAUGUUCUUGCUCACUUCAAUGUCAAUCCGUAUGAAGGGGAGAAAGGAUUCUUUUUUGGAUUGGCUACAGCACCUGCUCAUGUGGAAGACAGGCUUGAUGAUGCUUGGCUCCAAUUUGCCGAAAAUACAGAAUCACAUGAACACCAGCAGCCUCAAACAGCAGAUGCUAUUAUGGGCUCUGCUACAGGUGAUGGUGGAUCUCAGCAAGCUCCGUUACCUCAGAGAGAAGCUACCAAGACCAUAAAGAGGAAAAAGUCCCUUAAGAUAGCCCUCGAGGCACAAAUAAGAGGAUUUGAGAAGUACAUAGAAGUGGAAGAGCCAACUCCAACUGAGCAAUGUCAUCAUAACGUUGCUGCCUGGCAUAACGUCCCACACCCGGAGGAAAGGCUAAGGUUUUGGUCUGAUCCUGACACUGAAUUGAAAUUAGCUAAAAAUACUGGAGUGCAAGUCUUUCGAAUGGGUGUAGAUUGGUCCAGGAUCAUGCCUGAAGAGCCACUCGGUGGACUGAAAGAAACUGUCAAUUUUGCGGCGUUGGAGCGAUAUAAAUGGAUCAUUAAUAGAGUCCGAUCCUACGGGAUGAAGGUCAUGUUAACAUUGUUUCAUCACUCUCUACCACCGUGGGCUGGAGAAUAUGGGGGAUGGAAAUUGGAGAAGACAGUUGACUAUUUCUUGGAAUUUACCAGGCUCGUUGUUGACUCUGUUGCAGAUAUAGUGGACUAUUGGGUUACUUUUAACGAGCCUCAUGUCUUUUGUAUGCUCACCUACUGUGCUGGUGCCUGGCCUGGUGGUAAUCCUGAUAUGCUGGAGGUUGCUACUUCUGCUUUACCUACAGGUGUCUUCAAUCAGACCAUGAACUGGAUAGCAAUUGCACAUACAAAGGCAUAUGAUUAUAUUCAUGAAAAGAGCAAACCAGCGAGUGCCAUUGUUGGAGUAGCUCACCAUGUCUCAUUUAUGCGUCCAUAUGGACUGUUUGACGUCGCUGCUGUUUCAGUUGCCAAUUCUAUGACCCUUUUUCCUUUUCUGGAUAGUAUUUCUGACAAACUGGAUUAUAUUGGGAUCAAUUACUACGGACAGGAAGUCAUUUGUGGUGCAGGAUUGAAACUAGUGGAGACAGAUGAGUACAGCGAAUCUGGGCGUGGUGUCUAUCCUGAUGGCUUGUUUCGUGUGUUGCUGCAAUUUGAUGAAAGAUACAAACAUCUUAAUCUUCCCUUUAUGAUAACUGAAAAUGGCGUUUCUGAUGGAACAGACUUGAUUAGACAACCAUACUUGUUGGAACAUCUACUUGCAACUUAUGCCGCCAUGAUAUUGGGUGUUCGUGUACUUGGUUACUUGUUUUGGACAAUCUCUGAUAACUGGGAGUGGGCUGAUGGGUAUGGUCCCAAGUUUGGACUUGUAGCAGUUGAUCGUGCCAAUGAUCUCGCUCGGAUUCCUCGUCCUUCAUACAAUUUGUUUUCAAAGGUUGUGGAAUCUGGAAAAAUAAUGCGGGAAGACAGGGAACAGGUAUGGGGUGAGCUCCAAACCGCUGCUAAAGAAGGAAAAAGGAGGCCAUUCUAUCGAUCAGUGAAUAAAAACGGCUUAAUGUAUGCAGGAGGCCUUGAUGAGCCCAUAUCGAGAACUUAUAUUAAAAGAGAUUGGCGGUUUGGGCACUAUGAGAUGGAAGGUUUACAAGAUCCCUUGAGCCGUUUUGCACGAUAUCUUCUGCAUCCUUUCUCGCUUAAAAAGAAGGCAGAGACUCGGCGAGAGAGUGAUCAAUUGAUUCUUGAGCCUCUCAUCGCAAACAUCUAGGUACAACUGCAUCAGAUUGUUUAAAGAAUUCUGCUUGAAAAUCCUAAACUGGAUGCCAUAGUAAGUUGUAGGAAGCUAAGAUGGGAUUAAACAGUUGAAUAGAUCAAUCUCUAGGUGAGAUGUUUGACUGGGAAAGUGAGAAAUGACAACUGCAAUUAGUAUUUGGUUUGGAGAAGUAGAAGGUGCAUUAUUCAGGGCAAUGUUUGCCUUGAGAAUACUGUAAAUCAACAGUUAUUGUUGUGUAAUAAACUUUCUUUAAGCAUUGAUUUGAAGGAUCUGCCAGCUCCAGCAUUUGGUAGAUACUUGGUGCAAUUGUAUAAGUGAACAACUAGUGUUAUAUUUAGUAUUGCCAUUAUGGUGUGAA